rnacentral:rRNA from 1 species
CUAACGCGUAGAAGGCGAGCACUCUAGACGAACUCGCCGUUGAACAAAACGGAGGAAGUGGGGAUGACGUCAAAUCAUCAUGCCCCUUAUGUUCUGGGCUACACACGUGCUACAAUGGCCGGUACAGACGGACGCAAAGCCGCGAGGCGGAGCAAAUCCGAAAAAGCCGGUCUCAGUUCGGAUUGCAGGCUGCAAUUCGCCUGCAUGAAGUCGGAAUCGCUAGUAAUCGCAGGUCAGCAUACUGCGGUGAAUACGUUCCCGGGCCUU